rnacentral:rRNA from 1 species
UGCAAGUCGAACGGCAGCAUGACCUAGCUUGCUAGGUUGAUGGCGAGUGGCGAACGGGUGAGUAAUGCACCGGAACGUACCCAGUAAUGGGGGAUAACGCACCGAAAGGUGUGCUAAUACCGCAUACGCCCUGAGGGGGAAAGCGGGGGAUCGUAAGACCUCGCGUUAUUGGAGCGGCCGAUGCCGGAUUAGCUAGUUGGUGGGGUAAAGGCCUACCAAGGCGACGAUCCGUAGCUGGUCUGAGAGGACGACCAGCCACACUGGGACUGAGACACGGCCCAGACUCCUACGGGAGGCAGCAGUGGGGAAUUUUGGACAAUGGGCGCAAGCCUGAUCCAGCCAUGCCGCGUGAGUGAAGAAGGCCUUCGGGUUGUAAAGCUCUUUCGCAAGGAAAGAAAACUUAGCUACUAAUACUAGCUGAGGAUGACGGUACCUUGAUAAGAAGCACCGGCUAACUACGUGCCAGCAGCCGCGGUAAUACGUAGGGUGCGAGCGUUAAUCGGAAUUACUGGGCGUAAAGCGUGCGCAGGCGGUUUGGCAAGUCAGAUGUGAAAUCCCCGAGCUCAACUUGGGAACUGCGUUUUGAAACUGCCAGACUAGAAUAUGUCAGAGGGGGGUAGAAUUCCACGUGUAGCAGUGAAAUGCGUUGAGAUGUGGAGGAAUACC